UAUUUCGGUCGCUCUGGUAUAAAACAAAACAAUAACAAACGAACAAACACAAAAGUGACAAAACCUGGAGGACGGGCAUAACUUAAAGACAAAGUUAAAAACGUGAAAAUACGCGCCCGUCUUCCAAAAACAGUCAAAUAACACAAUAAAAAUACACGAUACAGAAUCGGGCAAUAACUUCAAAUAAAUUGAUUCAAUUAUGCAAACACUGAUCAGAGGAAGAACAGGGCAACACUUAAUAAGAAAUAAAAAAAUUGAUAGAUUUUUUGUUGACACGAUUGUGAUGUGGUGCAAUAUUCGUGGGAAUACAAAAUGUUACAUAAAAAUUUUGUUGCAACUAUAUCAAGAAAUAUUGAUGCAUUGCCAAAAACACAAAUACGACUAGAUUUAAGAAUACAAGGUUUAGAAAAACUUAAUAUAGCAUACGAGUGAGCUUCUAGCAAUGUCACACGAAACAAUGAUGCAAAAAUAAUGUGUAAUUGUGUUACACUCCACACAUCUAAAAAAAUUAGCAUAUCAGUGAUCUAAACAUUCCCUGUUGCACCCAAACGACUGCAAUUCAUAUGAACAAACUCACACACAUAAUUGUAGGCUACACAAUUGCUGAAAACGGUAGACUCGAAUAAAUUAAUUUCGGGCGUCUUAAACUUUCCACACAAUUAAUAUACUAGGGCAACUGGGCUAUAUAUACAUACAGAUAUAAGAUUUCCGGCCUCGAUGGUAUUGAAUUGUCCAAUUUAUUGGCUUUACGACCCUAUAUAUUAGUGUUGAUUGUAUAGCUUGCCGUUUUGGGUCGUUGGUCCAGCUUAAUGCCAAUGGGUCCUGUAAAUAAAAUUUCAUAGGGGCAUGUCACAGCUGCUACUUCAUGGUCAGACUAUGAUGGCAUUCCUAAACUUGUGAAAUGUUUCUUCUUAUAUAAACAGUCAAUACGUAGUUGUAGACCAAUCUAACCCAGUACGGUACUUUCUGACUUUUGUUGCCAAUUUACAUAAAUUUGUGUCUUCAAAUAAUCCAACGAGAUAAGCCUUGCUUUUUUCAGUGUUGCAAAAGUCGAAUUCCCAGCUCUACAUCAAAUCCAGUCGUCACAUCUGUUGCACAUAUUUGGAGUAGUCAUCUAAAAUUCUUGCGUAGUUUUUGUGGAGUUAAUAUACCGUUAGUCGUCCUCGUUUCAGUAUAAAACUGUGAUGAAAACGACCUCGGCUAAUGAGUAUUUACGUUUGUAAGGUUUCAGGCCGGCGAUAAUGAGGCUUUAAAGUCGGCGAUAACCGAGCAGUAAUCUCGGCGCGCGGCUUCAUUAUCACCGAUCUGGCACCUUAUCUAAUCUCCGUGCAUGGAUAUCAGUGCCAGAUCUCUUUCCACUUCACUCAGGCCAUCAUAAAGAAUGUGCGUCACAAUAAUUUGGCUCCGAAUAUUUUCAAAACACAUGGCUAUACAACAGUGUCUGGACUCCCAAUGAUUGGUCAGUAUUCGACGUAGAAAUAAGAACCAACAAUUAUCUGGAAGGUUGGCACCGUCAUUUUAACAGUAUAACUCGGAAAAAUAUGCCUUUUUACAGUUCUAUUACGAGUUUGGGGACUAGCCAAGUGACUCCCGUAGUAUCUGUACCUGAAAUUAUGUACGAGGUAAGUAUAGGGAUAGAGGCGAACGUUGUGGAGAUUUUGGAAGAGAAUGUUGUGGGGCGUGUCAACGGCAGGUAUGCGGAAGCCAACGAGAGGGUGCAACGUGUCUGGGAACAGUUUAAGGAAGGAGAGUUAUCUGUGGACUCUCUUCUUCGGAGGUGUUCAAGGAUCUACGGGCCGCAGUAUUGCAAAGAAUAAAAACCAAAUCAAGGUCACACCUGAAAUCUGGUGAAGAUGAACUACGAGUUAGCUUGGCCCCCAUUACGCUGCGCAUCAAGACAAUAUGUGCUAAAAAGCAAGAAAAUAUUACAAAGGCUGUACAGUUGCGGUCAUCGGCUAACAAGCCCACAAAUCGAAAUGUAUUUGUCGAAGAUAUGUGAGAAGGAAAUUUGCGAGAUAGAAUGUAUAAAGAAAUGAAGUGCUUCCAGCGAAAACUUUACUACCAAAUGACACCGGAUUGAAGGAUUCUUUUACAAACGUGACAUGUUAAUCGAAACUAGGAAAUAUAAAGAGCGGAUACAAACGAAUGGAUUGAAAAUUUAGAAAAUCGGAAUAGUGAAAUGCAGUCAAAAGACGACUGACUAUCUGUUGAGACAGUUUAUGGUUCAUCCACCGAGUGUUACCGACUUGCAGAACCGGUAUCAUACAUCUUGAUGUAAAUGGGAGUGUAAUAAAACGAAGGGCUGACACGAAAGAUUUGCAAGUCUACACACUUCUGAUACGGAAUGCAACCAAGGGCAAACUCGCUUUCCCAAUUGCGACCUUCGUGACGAAUGAGCAUAACGUCACGCAUAUCGAAUAUUUUGAAAAAGAUUCCUUUUUGACGCCUCCAAACAUGUGGAUUUCAAUAAAAAAAAAACAGUCAUGAUGAUAAUAAGUGGCUCAGUUGCUCUCCGGAUAGCAGUUUUAAAAUAUUUUUGUCAUGAAACACGAUUGGACCAUUAUCAAAGAUGAUAUCGAAUAGUUUCAGGCCACAAGAGAAAAUGCCGAACGUACAAUUAUACAUAACUGUUUAUUAAGUCAUUCAAUUCAUGCAACAAAAAUUAUCUGUUUCUGAAAAUACCAACGCCAUACGAUUUUAGCGAUGCAUUGGGUAACUCUAUGUUUUAAAUGUGAAAGUAUUCAGGAACUAAGCGAAGUAGUAUUCAGUCUGUUGGUAGUUACAAUUUGUAAGCAAAUUUCACAGGUAGUAAUAAAACAUCUGUAGGGUUUGGCGACUGGGAAUAUAUUCAACGAAAAUCUAAAAUAAAAUGAAGAUGUGAUGGUAAACGUGAUUUGAACUGAAGACGCUUUUUUUCCACUAUUACAAAAAUUUCCAUGUUAUUGACGAUACUAAAGUAUAUAUAUAGGAAAUUCAAGAUUGUACAGAAUUCGCAGUAACAAGGAAAAAUUUCCUGAAGGCAACGUCUACUACUCAGAAUUUUUUAUUUCGGUCGCUCUGGUAUAAAACAAAACAAUAACAAACGAACAAACACAAAAGUGACAAAACCUGGAGGACGGGCAUAACUUAAAGACAAAGUUAAAAACGUGAAAAUACGCGCCCGUCUUCCAAAAACAGUCAAAUAACACAAUAAAAAUACACGAUACAGAAUCGGGCAAUAACUUCAAAUAAAUUGAUUCAAUUAUGCAAACACUGAUCAGAGGAAGAACAGGGCAA